UAAGGAAUAUUACUCAAUGGGAGAAAUCCUGAAGCAGCAACGCCGCGUGGAGGAUGAAGGGCUUUCAGCUUGUAAACUCCUGUAAAGAAGGAAAAAAUUCCCAUUAGAUGGGAAAUGAUGGUACUUCUAAAGUAAGCCCCGGCUAACUAAGUGCCAGCAGCCGCGGUAAUACGUAGGGGGCAAGCGUUGUCCGGAUUUACUUGGUGUAAAGUGUGCUCAGGCGGAUUUGUAAGUCAGAGGUGAAAUCUCACAUCUUAACUGUGAAACUGCCUUUGAUACUGCAAGUCUAGAGUAUGGAAGAGAGUGAUUGAAUGUCUGGUGUAGCAGUGAAAUGCGUAGAUAUCAGAUAGAACACCAAUGGCGAAGGCAGUCACUUGGUCCAUUACUGACGCUAAAGCACGAAAGCGUGGGUAGCAAACA
rnacentral:rRNA from 1 species